rnacentral:tRNA from 1 species
GCUCGCGGUAGCUCAGCGGUAGAGCAGCUGUCUGAAAAGCAGCGUGGCGCAGGUCCGAAUCCUGCCCCGAGCACCA